GUUCAGGUGAGAGCUUCCUGAGAAUGGAGGAGAAAUGGAUGGUGCAGCAGAGAGUUGCCAGAGGGGAAAAGCUGCAGAAAAGUUGAAGCUUUGCAUCCUGCCUAGGAAACAGAGCAUCAGCCUUUUGGCUCCACGGUGGCCUGACACAUGAGGCCAAGUAAGAUCUGCCACCUGGAACAGCACUUUUACCUUCUCUGGGCCUGCAGGAGGGGUCAUUGGUGCACACACGUGCUCCAAGCCAGGCAUAGCUCAUCCUGAAACAAGGUGGAUCCCACAGCCAGGUGCCACCCUGUAAUGGAUCAGUGCAGAUGGAUCGACCACUGAACUGGGAACCUGUGACAUCAAAGAUGGGGUAUUGCAGGUUCAAGCUGUGUGGAUGGGUCAGAGGGUCUGAGGCAGAGGAGCUGGCCGGAGGCGUGCUGUGCUCCCAGGGCAUGAGGAAGGGGACUGUGGAGCAGGAUCACACACAAGGGAAAGAAGCAGAAUGCCCCCUCCUGUUUGCACCUACUUGAACUGCUGCAGAGUCGCCAGGAGGUACAUCAGUCCCCGAGUUUCACUAGCGAGUAGGAUUUGCCCUUCCUCUUCCCUCAUCCAGCUCUGCAGGGUUUCACCCGGUGAUGCCCCUGUUGUACCAUUCAAAACUUGCAUGCCUGGGAGCAGCACCUCCCUGCCCCAGCGGCUGGGUGAAAGCCCCACACAGGAACCCAUCCCAGCUGGGGAAGUUCAUGCUGGAGUCUGGCUUCUGCUACUGCCCUACAACCUGGCUUUCUUCUGCCUGCGGCUUUGGGAUGGGUGGAGAGGAUCUCAGGGCCCAGGGGAGGAGACCUUGGCAAUACAACAUCAUGGUGCAGGUGCCACCACGCUGUGGGAGGCAGACCGCUCGCCCUGCAGCUGCAAAGCCAGGCUUAGGCUAGCCCUGCUUGCUCAUGGAUCCAUCACUGAAAUAGUGCAGCCAGGAGCCACUCAUGCCAUGUGCCUUGCCCCUCCAUCUCACAUGCUCUCUUGGAGUCACCCAGCAGAGGGAGAAGGCUCACAGACCUGUCAGGCCAUUGCUUGCCUGGCAGCAUCAGAGCUGCUGAUGAGGAUAAACAAGACAGAGCUUGUGUGUCUCAGGAGCCAUAGGAAACAUAAGCCUGGGGGGACUGGAGGACUGAGAGUGGGCUAGGAAAUCUGUCAUGGCUAAGGGACCUAGUCAAAUCAAGAACCAGUCCGUAGUGGCCAAAAGGAACUGCCGUGUGAGGGGUGUGUGAAGACCUGUAUGGAACGAGUUGCCACGUCUCAGCCUGGUGCCUAAUGCACAUCCUCAAAAUCACCAGCGUGUUUCAUCCAUCUCCACAGAGACAGCAAAAGCACCAAGAAGCCCAUGGAAAGUGCAAUUCUCUCACCCAUCUCCAGGCCUGUUACCAUGUAGAAGAGAGGAGUUCAGUGUCAUUCCAGGGCUAAAUUCACUGAAGAAAGAGAAAUACUGAGCAGGGGAAAGGGCAAAACAUGGGAGGAAAAGAUGUGAUUUUUUUUUCCAUAGUAGUAUAAAA